rnacentral:rRNA from 1 species
UACGUAGGGUGCGCGCGUUGUCCGGAAUUACUGGGCGUAAAGAGCUCGUAGGUGGUUUGUCGCGUUGUUCGUGAAAACCGGGGGCUUAACCCUCGGCGUGCGGGCGAUACGGGCAGACUUGAGUACUGCAGGGGAGACUGGAAUUCCUGGUGUAGCGGUGGAAUGCGCAGAUAUCAGGAGGAACACCGGUGGCGAAGGCGGGUCUCUGGGCAGUAACUGACGCUGAGGAGCGAAAGCGUGGGGAGCGAACAGG